rnacentral:rRNA from 1 species
AUUGAACGCUGGCGGCAUGCUUUACACAUGCAAGUCGAACGGCAGCGCGGGCUUCGGCCUGGCGGCGAGUGGCGAACGGGUGAGUAAUACAUCGGAACGUGCCCAGUAGUGGGGGAUAGCUCGGCGAAAGCCGGAUUAAUACCGCAUAUGACCUGAGGGUGAAAGCGGGGGAUCUUCGGACCUCGCGCUAUUGGAGCGGCCGAUGGCAGAUUAGCUAGUUGGUGGGGUAAAGGCCUACCAAGGCGACGAUCUGUAGCUGGUCUGAGAGGACGACCAGCCACACUGGGACUGAGACACGGCCCAGACUCCUACGGGAGGCAGCAGUGGGGAAUUUUGGACAAUGGGCGAAAGCCUGAUCCAGCAAUGCCGCGUGUGUGAUGAAGGCCUUCGGGUUGUAAAGCACUUUUGGCGGGAACGAAAAGGACUGUGCCAAUACCACGGUUCGAUGACGGUACCCGCAGAAUAAGCACCGGCUAACUACGUG